GAGGGCGGUACCGGGUGCUAGAGAGGAACAUAAAACGACUACUAGGAAAGACCUGUAUCUACCCUAAGGUUCCUAAACAGACAAAUGGCCGAGACUGUGGCGUGUUCACAGUGAUGUAUGCUGUGGGUCUACUGAAGGUACACCAUCAUGUCUGAUAUUAUUAAACAGCAAUUUCUCUGAAAUAAAUCAGUGAGAUGAGUCAGUAGUCAAAAUAAUUUAGUUGUUUUUUAAGUCAGUAAAGGACAUUUUACGGUAAUCUAUUUGAGUAAAAUGUGACUAUUCUUACAUUUACGAUUUUUUUUGUUUAAUUUUAUAUGUUAAAUGCAGAGUACACCCUCAUCCAACACAAAACAGUUUCUUGUACAAAUUUACAAAUUACUAAUGAAACUGUUUUGUGCCUUUUAAGGAAAGCAAUUGGAGCCAAAUACAGUGGCCAACACUCGUGUCAUCUGACAUAGAAGACACGGGGAGAAAGCUCAUACAUGACACAUUAAUGAAAUGGUGCUGUUGAAUACAAACGUGAGUAUGCCAGAAAAGGAAAACAAUUUAUACAUAUA